GAGUUUGAUCUUGGCUCAGAACGAACGCUAUCGGUAUGCUUAACACAUGCAAGUUGAACGGAUUAUUUAGGGCUUGCUCUAAAUAAUUAGUAGCAAACGGGUGAGUAACACGUGGGAAUCUACCCAUCAGUACGGAAUAACACUUAGAAAUAAAUGCUAAUACCGUAUAUUCUCUUAGGAGGAAAGAUUUAUCGCUGAUGGAUGAGCCCGCGUCAGAUUAGGUAGUUGGUAGGGUAAUGGCCUACCAAGCCAACGAUCUGUAGCUGGUCUGAGAGGAUGAUCAGCCACACUGGGACUGAGACACGGCCCAGACUCCUACGGGAGGCAGCAGUGGGGAAUAUUGGACAAUGGGCGAAAGCCUGAUCCAGCAAUACCGAGUGGGUGAUGAAGGCCUUAGGGUUGUAAAGCCUUUUCAGCAGGGAAGAUAAUGACGGUACCUGACCAAGAAAGCCCCGGCUAACUCCGUGCCAGCAGCCGCCGUAA
rnacentral:rRNA from 2 species